CAGGCCAAACCGAAACAAACCGAGCCAUUGCACGGCAGUCGUCAGUCAGUUGGCCAACAAAGUAGCAGCAGCCAACAACGUGUGGUGUGCCUGCUUGGCACCGAAAGUGGCGGUGUGCCCUUCGGGCGAUUUUCUUGGAUCGCAACGCAUCCAAGAAAAUCGCCAACACGGCAGCCAGAAAAAUACGGGCAGCAACAACAACAAACAGCAGCAAAUCACUAAACACAGGGGGAAAAAAAUCAGCAAAAAAAUAAAACAUAUAUUUCGUCUUCAUUGUUUGGCGAUUUAGUUUUAUUUUCCAACAACCUCUGGCCAAGAGAGCAGCUGUUCAAGUGAUGUGAUGAUGUUGUGAUCCAAGUCCAAGAAUUAAGACAAACACACAGUGUCGGGUUAAACAAUGUGCAAGACAUAACGGUAUAUGUCGUGUGUUUGUGUUGCUUAUUGGCGAUGACAAUUGCAGCACUUGGCCAACAACUCAAAAAGUCAUCAAGAAAUGUCAUGAAGUGGCAAAGAAUAUGAUGCCAACGGCCAGUCAACACACACGCACACACACACACGCUGGUGGAACGUGCAGACGAUUAGCCAAGUCCAAAUCCGGUGUUGGCCAACAGGCGAUAAGAAAACAAUAACAACAACAAAUCGCAGACAACAGUCAACCACGACGCUGGAGGUGAUUGCGGCCAAAAACAACAGCCGGUCGAGGUUAAGUACCACGUCAGUGAAGUGUUUGCUAAAUGCCGACCAGAAACUAACCGAAAUCCUAUUGACCGACUUUGUCAGUUGCCCGUCAGCAAGGACGUCGUGUUGGUGCCUACGUACAACCAACUACCAACAACAACCGGGAAAGUAGCAAUUAAAAAUACGUCCGUCUCAAUCAUGCAGCUACCAACAGUGCGCGUCGCACGUCAACAGACGCACACGUUGGUCGAACGCACGCACCAGCCCACCUCCCUGCCAUAACGGCACGCUGUCGAUAGUAAGGGUUCAAUUAAGUUUUCGAUGAAAUGGCGCAGGUGGAGUUCAAGUUCCGGUAGAAUGCUGGCUAUAACGAACACCCCAACCCACACCUGACUGGCAAAAAACAGUCUAGCGGCAGACAGCUGCUGGCUAAAUCCCAAAUCAAGCCAUUGUUUCACUUUUUUUUGGCAACUGUCAACGCCAAAUUAUGAAGUCGCAGCGUUGUGCUUGCGAAAUGUCAACACCGCAUCAAGCCAUGUCGAGCCAAACUAGACGGCCACAGCUCCAACACUCUACAGCAGUGGCCAAUUGGCUGGAAAAUCAAAGUCAGCUGGACUUUGGAGCGUUGCAAACACGCAUAACUCUGGCGUACGCGCUGAAGGCUGCACACGCGUGGCUCACAAGUGAACUGUGCGCGACAAAGCGGGAAAUCGAGAGCAUAAACGUUUUCGAAAAUAUUCAAAAAUAUUCAAAAACCUUCAAAAACAUACGCGUAGCAAUAAAAUAUAAAUUAGUUAAAAAUAAAUAACCGUUAAUAGCAGUAGUGGACUUUCAUCGCAUUAACGUAGUUUUGAAUAAAGUGCUGAAACAACAACAAAAUGUAGUCGCUUAGUCUACACUCACCCGAAAUUAUGUAACAAUAAUCGACAUGUAAUUAUAAUUCGACAAUUAAAAAAGACAAUUACAUAAUACUGUAAGUGUAGUGAAACUAGAACAGGCAUAUAACGGUAAAUAAACUUAAAUCAUACAUAUGUGCAAUAUUAGUUUCGUAUGUAAGCAUAAAAAAGCCACAAUUUUCUAACCAAGAAAUUGUUAAAAAAUAUGAAAUAUUGAACAGUAAUAAAUUAAAUCAUUAAUCAAAAUACAUAUAUAUCAUAUAUCAACUAUAAUCUAUAUAUAAUCAGUUGGAAAGCAAACAUUUACUUACAUAAUCGCAACGAUCAUGGUGCAACCUCGGUGAAUUGUCGCGAAACCAGUUAUUAGUGUCGGUGUCAAAACCGAAAUGUACACGCUGAUAAAAAUAGUACCGCAAUUCGCCCACAGCAGUUGGAUGGAAUUUCCUGAAGCAACAAAAAUAUCAGAAUUCUGGCGUGCAACUCCUCUUUGUUGUAACAGCAAUACAAACAGCAGUUAUCAACACUUAACCUCCAAUUCAUUCACACAAAACCGACACACAUAAAUCUCACCGAUUGGCAAUUACCACGCUGCAGUCAAGCGCAAACAUACAAACGUCAACGUCACUGGCUAGUGACCAACCAAUGGCGUGCGGCGGUUUCGCCGGCUGACGCACCAACACACGCUCCAACACGCGAACAAAAAAUGCACCACCGGAAAUGCAUUUCACUCGGCAAAAGCAAGGAAAAACGAGUAUCCUCAGCUAUGUCUUGCAAUCACGCGAUUUGUGCUGAUGCGCCAUGUCGUAGAGAGAGAGAGUAGGAUUGUAAGUAGUAUUUAGUGUGUAAAGUGUCACUCAUACGCCUGGUGGCAGGACAUAGUUCGCGCCUUUGCCGUUUGAGUCAUGUAUAUAUCCAGCAAGUGAAAUUUGGCGCGUUCGGAGUAGCGGUGGUGGUGCUUGAGUGGUAGCCACACGCUGAGAUUGGUGUGCCCGUGUGAGUAGGCGCGAGAGCGCCAAGUAGUGUGAGAGCGUCGUCGCCUAAACGAACAACAACUGACAAAUUGGCAUUUCGCUCAUUGGCUACAAGCACCAUAAAGGAUGCGGAAGUAACGGUUGUCGACGUCGGCUACCCAACUGGCCAAUCAGAAAGGUGCCGAGCGCAACGAAGCGUUUACUUGUACAAAUAUCCUUAGCUGCUUGCGGUGAAGUAAAAUUAACGUUAUAUGAAUGCAAGAGGGAAAGUGUGUGGGCGGAGAAGGGGCUGUAUUGUAUUUGUUUUAAUGGCCUGGAAGGCAAAGGACACUUGCCAAAGAUAGCAACAAUAAUUUUUGGCGCUGCCUCUGUUUUCUGCCAAUACCUUGAGGCAAAUACUAAGAUUCUGCAGAAUGAUAUUAUUGUAAAAAUGUGUUAUGUUUGUUGUGAUUUAUUAGCGAUUUUUUUAAUUGGUAUAAAAAUGAACGCAUAUAUAAUCGUAAGUCAGGCUUGUAAAUAGUGCAUAGUAUAUACAUAUAUAAUAAAAAAAUAUAUAAUAUGUAAACAUUUGUAAUUAGCGUAAUAUCAGAGUCUAACUUUAGUUUAUAACAGUUCUAGCCCCGUCUUGUAUGUCUUAUUGGUAGUCACCUGGCGGUCACGGUGUUGCUUGGAAAAUAACAACUGGUCCAGCUCAUCGUCCGCAAUAUUUUUAUUUUAGAUUUAUUUUUAAUUUAAUAUUCAUCUAGUAAUCAUAUGAACCUACGUAUUAUAAAAAAAAUAUGAUAAUUAAUGACGAGAACAAAAUCUAAGAAUAUUCACUAGCUCAAACAAAUUAAUACCGUCAUAUAAUUACUUAAUUACUCAUAUAAUGUAAUUUGUAGAAAAUAGUUUUACGUGACCAGCGUAAUGUUCAGAGGAAGAAGGAGAAUAUUGAAAAUGAAUAAAGAUUGAAAAACUGUAAAGCUCUCGACAGCGGAACAGAACA